UCCUACAGUGGUAUGUUCAGUGUUACAGGAGAAUUGAAAAUGGUCAGUGUCAAACAGAGAGACCAUGGGCAUCACUGACAGUGCACAUCAUAGUGGGUAAGAGCAAACCAGAGACAGAUGGCUUGAGUCAGAAUCUGGGCUUUGUCUCUUCUGGCUGGCUGACUUCAUGCAAGAUACAUAAGCUCUUUCUGCCUCAGUUUCCUCAUCUACAAAAGGGGGAUGAUAACAGUAGUCCUAGUGCCUGGGCUCGUCGCCAGGAUUCAAGAAGGAGUAUAUGUGAAGCUUUUAGACGACCCCCUCCUAGUCAAGUAAUCUUUGAAACCAAAGUACGCGAACCAAAGAGCAUGGAAUCAAAAGGUUCCUGAAGCUCUGAGAUGGGAAUGAGAAUUGAAGAAGCCAUAUGAUAAGAUGCCGUGAUCAGAAAUAAAAUGAGACAUGUUUUGACACUUAAUGACAUCCUAAAAGAUUGGGCGGCAGAAGAUGUACACGUGUGUCUGCAGUAAAUGUGGUGAGGAGGUGGGGGGGGUUGGGCAAGGGAGAUCAAUCUCGAAGCUUUCAAUUAGGAUCCUGUGGGCGGGGAAGAAGACUGGAGCUCGCAGGGAAGGAACUGGCUGAUAUUAUUAUUAUUUUUUUUUGAUGCAGCAUUCCAGAAAACAUAAUCAAUGGCACCCGUCCAGUUCCCAUUUAGUAACCAAAGAACUAGCUGCAGCUGUUUUUUAUGCCUGGUGGUGCCAGUUUGAUAGUGUAUAAUCAUAUUUGCAUAAAGAUAAAAAGGAAGGUGUUAUAGAACACAGUUAAGCCUAUGGUUUCACCAUGAAUUAAAGGUAAUUUCAGACUAAUUAGGUAUAAUUUGUUAAGGAAUUCUUCCCAGCAAUGAUGACUCUGAUUUUGUAAUUACAGGACAAUGCUUACUGUGGCUUUCAAGGCUGGAGAAAGCACACCCGAGGGGGUCGUGUCCCACACUAGGCAGAUCUAAUGGUGCCACAAAAGACAGGUGUUUUGUCAGAUUUCAGCCACACACUUUCACACCUGCAACGCAUUAAGUACAGCAGCAAUGUUAAUGAAGACCAGGUGCCUGUUCCCCAACUUAAAUGAGAAACUGGCAUGAGGUUUGCUGUUUGCUACCUGACGUCUUCCUCCGUGUCUCUGAACACCGGCCCUCCAGUUGACUGGGAAAAUGAACUGGGUACGGCGGUUAUCCUCGCUGCCUGAGUCGCCUGUUGGUUCUCACCCUCCGAGAGUGGGGAAGACUCUUCCAGCCCCAAGGGUUUCUGGGUUUCUCUGCGGCUACCCCUUUUGUGCAGAGCUCAGCCUCCGGGAGUCCCGAAAAGAGCCUGAGCUGCACGCUCGGCAAAAUGGGUUUCUGGAAAGUGCUGUGUUAUCAGCUGCUACCAGGGAAAGUUUGAUUGCAGCUACUUGAGUCUUUUCAAACUUGAAGUUUUGCCAUUCUGUCCGGAAAUGAGUAAUGGAGGCCUUGAGCAAGCUUUUUCAUUUUAAUAAAACACAAGGUUUUCAUUGUGUGUGGCUGCAUCGUUGUAAUGCUCUCUGUUAUGAAAUACAAAAUCUUUUUCUCCUUCCCUUAAAAAAAAAGAAAAAAAACCAAGAAAAAAAAAACAGCCUCAGCAGUGGAGUUUUUUUUCCUUUCUCCUCCUUUCCUUUGUUUUACCACUUUGAGCUGCAGCUGUCUGCUCCCUGCAAUUCCUAGCAGUUAUGUGAAAAGUUAAUAUUGUAAAAAAAAAACAAAA